rnacentral:lncRNA from 10 species
AGUGAUGCCAUAAUGGCUCACUGCAACCUCAACCUCAAACUUCUGGGCUCAGGCAAUACUCCUGCUUCAUCCUCCUGAGUAGCUGGGACCACAGGCAUGCACCACCACGCCUGGCUAAUUUUUUUAAAAUUUUUUUGUAGAGGCAAGGUUUUGCUAUGUUGUCCAGUCUGGUCUCAAACUCCUAGCUUCAAGUAAUCCUCCUGCCUCAGCCUCCUAAAUUGCUGGGAUUGUUGGUGUGUAUCAGUAACUCUUAAUCUAGAGAUAUGUGAACAAAAAGUCAAAUUAUCUGUUCCCACAUAUCCAACACACCAUGUUGAGACAAGAACAGGGUAAUUGCAGUCAAUGUUCCCACUUAAAAUAGAAAGCAAUGAGAGGCAUACAGUAGUCAUUGGCCCAUAGCAAUUCUGAAAUACACCCAGUCAUGCACCUCCAAGGAUCCUGAAGUGUUCCACGAUUAAGGCUUAAUUCUGCUUUCUAAUAAUUGUUUGCAGUUCGAAGCUAUACGAGAAUAUAGACUGUUAGAUAAACAAAGUAAUGUAUUUCUGAGUUCUAAAGUUCAAUUUCUCUAAUAAAUUAAAAAGGGGGGUGGUGUCAAUAAUCUAGGUAUAUGAAAUUGUUCAGUCAAUAAUCUUUACUUCUGGUAGUUUCCAUGCUCACAUAUUCAGUGCUUAUUCACCGAACUAUGACUUGCUAGAAUGAUUUUGUGCAGUGUGCAAUGUUCAAAUGGUCAUUCAGAUCUGAUUUUAUAUGGAAUGCAGUAAGGCCAUCAAUCAAUUUUCCCAAUUACAAUGUGUAAAGUUAACCCUAAAUUUUAACCAAGUGACUAAUUUAUGUCUAUACAAAUGUAUCCAAGUCAGAUUAAACCCAUUAUCUCCUUGAGUCUCAUGCUUCUCAUUUUUUCUGUAUGGCUGUGCUUAGGACCAGGAAUCAUACAGUACUGGUGAUUCUUUUAGUGAAUAGAUUUUGGCUAACAUGUAUCACCGGUCUUAUUCCCAGUCACAGAGAUGUGGUUUCCGACAUGAAAUCCUUACAAAAGGAACCAGAAAGUGCAUCUGUGGCUAAAAAGAUCCAUGUCCUUGCCAACAACUGUUCUGUGGGACUAAAUCUGAAGGUAUUAUAUGCAAUGUGAGAGACAUAUCUAUAAAUUAAGUUUAAAUCCUGUGGCAGUUUCCUCUUUAAACUUACAGACAUCUACUUUUUUCUUAUCCAGGAUAAGAAUUGAUUUUUUUCAUGAUGCUUUAAAUUUCUCUUGUAUCAUCUAGCAGGAACUUGUGCAAGUUUGACAAUGUGCUUGGUAGGCGGUGUUGCUCCGUGAUUAAGAGCACAGGCUCCGGUGUUUCUUACUAACUGAAUCUGCAUCAAGGUCUAGGUGUAUCUGUCCAUUUUUGCCAAGUUUGGGGCAGUAACAGCAA